UACGUAGGCAGCAAGCGUUGUUCGGAAUUACUGGGCGUAAAGAGUGUGUAGGCGGUGUUCUAAGUCUGUUGUGAAAUCUCCCGGCUUAACUGGGAGGGUGCGGCGGAAACUGGAAUGCUAGAGUAUGGGAGAGGUGAGUGGAAUUCCCGGUGUAGCGGUGAAAUGCGUAGAGAUCGGGAGGAACACCAGUGGCGAAGGCGGCUACCUGGACCAGCACUGACGCUGAGGCACGAAAGCGUGGGUAGCAAACAGGG
rnacentral:rRNA from 1 species